ensembl:lncRNA
UUUGUUAUUUUUAAUUCAGAUUAUUCUGCAAUCUCCAUGCAAUUACUAGAAACGUUUUAUGAUAUUGAAGAGCCUGUAACUUUUUUCUAAAUUUAUUUAUGUAUUUCUACAUUUUUACUGUAAAAAAUUUUAAAAACUUGUUCAAUUUUUAUAUAUUUCUCAUCUAGGAUUAUUAAAGGUAAACAUCUAGCGUUCCCUCAAAUGUACUGCAAGAAAAAGUAGCCUGGAUGACAUUAAAGGCAACAUAAAACAACAUGUAGAGUUGGGCUUGAUGAGGAACACUUACAUCAUCACCUGCCAAUAUUCUACUCAGCUACAUACCGAGUUUGAGGUCAGCCUGGAGUCUUAAGACCAAGUGUCAGAAGAAAACAAACAAACAAAAAAAAAACUGAACACCUUGCUACAAAAAAAAAUAACAGGAGUUAGAAGAAUGUAUAAUUAUUUUCAAAUUUUACAGUUCACAACUAAAAUUUUCUGGUUCUGAAAAUGUUAAUUAGAUUGUUUAUAUAAAAAUUACCAGAUCUAUCAAUGAACAGAGCAUAAGGAUUUUAGCUUAAGAUACAUGUAAUUUAACACUUGAAAUACCCAAUUUCUAUAGAAGUAUUGUUUGUUGUAUUUUAAUUGAAGAAAUGAACAAUUUACCUACAUGUAUACAUACAUGUUUUUCAUUCUUUCAGCUGAUAAUUACACGUAGGGAUUAUUUUCCUGAGAGUUAAUACUUUUGCAUUACAAUGCAUAUUAUUUUACAGUAAUAUUUGAAGAGUUUUCAAGUUAUUUAAAGUAAACAAUGUAUACAUUCAUGGAAAUUUCCUCGUAAGAACAACUACAAUGAAUGAACAAUUUAUGGAAAUGAAAAAGAUAUUCAGGAAGAAUGUUAUAGUUUGAACACUCCUAAAUAGAAAGGAGUAAGAACACUUCUGUCUGCCUUUGCAUUUUAUAAGGGCCUUUGCAAAUAAACAGAUAAACAAGAAGAAAACAAGAAAAAGACAAUUUUUCCCAGUACCAAUCUCAGGAGUGCUGGGUUUCCAUAUCCACCUUUGUACUCCUAGCAGCACUUAUGGUUUAUGAACAUUUUUUGAAGAAUUUUAAGACACUCUGGGAUUUUAUGAUUCAACAAAAAGUAAUGCAUUAGCCAAUGACCCAAAGGAGAAGACGAAAUUUAACGUGGUCCUGAUGUCAGACUUAUUAAACCUACCUUGAUAUUUACUUAUGAAGUCCAAGAAAAUUGACUUUACUAAAGUGUUGCAUGCAAGCUAUAGGUGAUCUGUGCUUUCAGGUGAUCACCAAAAAAAAGACAAUUAUAACCUUCAUAACUGAAAAAAUGUCUCAUGUGUGGUGUAAGUAGUCUUCACAAUCAUUAAAAUUGAAGCAAAUUGACGGAGACUAAUGGAUUCUUUGAAGACAAUUUUUUUGAGGCAUUUUCAUUGCUGCUGUUGGAUUAGCUCAAGAAAUAAAGACAAAACUACAUGGAUCAAAAUAGUAUGAUGGAAGUGACAUUGGCUUCAUCACAUUGUUUUCUUAAAAUUUUCCCUGUAUGUAGUCAAUUUUUUCCUCAGAGUUGAUGCUUGAUUAUUUCACAAGUUGGAAAAAAUGCACUUUUAAUUUCGUUUGCACCACAUUUAAUAGAUUAAGUAGGAGAAAAUAGAUUUCUUUAAAAUUGAGUCUUCCUAUACAACAUCAAGGCGGUGGCCAUCUUGACAAAUAUACUAAAUAUACCUUCUGAAGAGGUUUCAUCUACAGUAUCUCCCAAAUACAGUUAUUGCAUUUAUUGCUACUGGAGUCUUACUCUACUCUUUUCAUCUCAUAACUUGUACAGAAGACGUCAAUGAAAUAAAAAUGAUCUGCUUUUGGCAAGUAAUUGACUGGAACAUUCAUUACUUCUUUCAGUAUAUCUUGUGCUCUGAUAUUGUGUGUUACCUAUUCUCUUAUUCAUAUUUUACUUUUUAAAUGGAA